rnacentral:rRNA from 1 species
UACAGAGGGUGCAAGCGUUGUUCGGAAUUACUGGGCGUAAAGCGCGUGUAGGCGGUCUGCCAAGUCUGAUGUGAAAGCCCUGGGCUCAACCCAGGAAGUGCGUCAGAUACUGGUGGACUGGAGUGGCGGAGAGGAUGGCGGAAUUCCCGGUGUAGAGGUGAAAUUCGUAGAUAUCUGGAGGAACACCGGUGGCGAAGGCGGCAUCCUGGACCGGCAUUGACGCUGAGGCGCGAAAGCCAGGGGAGCAAACGGG